AACAUUUUUUCAUUUGUCAAAUUUUUCUCUCUCUCUUCCCCCCCUCCUCUCUCGUACGCUCUCACUCUUUCUCCUCACACUUUCAUCUCUCUUUCUCCUCCCCAUCUCAUCCUUCACCAUAACAUCCACACCACAGCCUCCACCACCAUCUACAAAUCAACCACUCGUAAGAGUGAGGGAGCGGCCGAGUGACAGAAGCCGACGGGAGAGAAGUUCUGGCGAGGAGGAGGAGUUCCGGCUGAGAGAGUUCUUGUGGCCGUUUGUGGUGACACGGCGGUGCUUGGCAACGGCGGCAAUGAAGCUUCUUGCUCCGUCUUUCCUCUGGUUGAAGCUAGAUGUGAGAGAAUUGGCGAUUCAAUUCGGUUGUGUUCGGAUUAUACCUUAUGUUCGUGACGGUCUUAAGCUGAUUAUAAUGCAAAGCUUUCUGAUUUUGGCCUGGCAAGGGAUGGUCCGAAUGACAACGGAAGCCACGUCUCCACCAAGAUAAUGGGAACCGAGGGAUAUGCAGAUCCCGAAUAUGUAGACUCGGGCCAUCUUACUACUAAUAGUGAUGUCUAUAGUUUUGGAGUUGUCCUGCUAGAAAUAUUAACUGGUGAGUUGGUACUUGACAUGACUAAAUAUGGAAGAGACAACUUGGUCUAUAAGAGGCAUACAAGGUAGCCACUCUUGCUUUGCAAUGCCUAUCAUUAGAAUCCAAGUUCAGGCCUAACAUGAAUGAAGUUGUUAGAACUUUGGAGAAGCUGCAAGUUCCUAAUUUGAAUGUAGGCAAUCUAAAGCAUGCUGAUGGACAAUCUCCAAACUUGGUAGAACUGACUGUUCUGCAGACAGACCAGGGAAUCCACCUUGCAUGAUUUGCUGGUGAUGUUGUCCAUGAUCACAGCUCAAAGUUGAUAAGAUUAAGCUAAUUGAACUCUGUGGUACAUCUGAAGCUGAAUUUUCCAGUGGUUCUACUACUAUGAAAGAUUUGUGCCAUGAUGUUUUUGGGGUAGCUAAAGAAAAGAAAGAUCCUAAAGAAGUUAAGACCAAUAGAGAUUUGCUUGAUGUCUUACCAAGCAAAAGAAAAGCUGAGGACGGUAGCUAUUUGUCUGAUGAUGGAGCAGAGACAUCCUAUUCUUGGUAGCAAAGAUUGAUGUCGGUCGGUGAGUGACGAUGGUGGAUUAAGACACCCCGGCUGCAUUUCUACCAGAUGACUGCCAAUUGGAUGCUCAUCGUACAAUUGCAUAUAUUGAAAAGGACCCUUGCCGACCUGGUGUCAAGGAUUCAGUACAGCUUUGCUAAAAAGCCGGGGUUAAGGUAAAGAUGGUCACGGGUGACAAUGUGAAAACUGCAAAGGCAAUUGCUGUGGAAUGUGGAAUACUUAGUUCACUUGCUGAUGCUAUUGAGAGAACUGUCAUUGAAGACAAAACAUUUCGAGCCUUGUCAGAGUCAGAAAGAGAAGAAAUUGCAGACUCAAUAUCGGUUAUGGGAAGGUCAUCUCCCAAUGACAAACUAUUGUUAGUACAAGCAUUAAGGAGGAAGGGUCAUGUUGUGGCUGUUACUGGGGAUGGAACGAAUGAUGCUCCUGCACUUCACAAGGGAUGAAACUUAAACUCUCAUUCAGUCAUCCAAAUUCAUUAUAGAAGAAGGCCAACCAGUUCUCUAAACUAGCAUUUGAAAAUAAAUUAUCAGUUGAGGAGAAUUCUAUUAUCCGACUAAUUUGUAAUUUGGAGAUAGUUUGUAUCAGAAAAUCGAUUACUUAUUUGUACAUUUCGUUUUGAUUAUGUAAUUGGAUAUCUUAUAAUACUUAAAUUGGGUUCAGAAUA